rnacentral:rRNA from 1 species
AAAAGUCGUAACAAGGUUUCCGUAGGUGAACCUGCGGAAGGAUCAUUAUCGUACAACCGAGGCGUGAGGGCUGUCGCUGGCCUUUCAAAAGGUCGUGCACGCCCGAUCGCUCUCUCACAAUCCAUCUCACCCCCCUUGUGCACCACCGCGUGGGUCCUCCUUCCCUGGAGGGCCCGCGUUUUCACACAAAACUCGAUACAGUCUAGAAUGUUUGUUUUAUGCGGUCGCACGCAAUCAAUACAACUUUCAACAACGGAUCUCUUGGCUCUCGCAUCGAUGAAGAACGCAGCGAAAUGCGAUACGUAAUGUGAAUUGCAGAAUUCAGUGAAUCAUCGAAUCUUUGAACGCACCUUGCGCCCCUUGGCAUUCCGAGGGGCACACCCGUUUGAGUGUCGUGAAAUUCUCAAAACCCUUUUCUUUGAUCGGAAGGAGGGCUUUUGGACCUGGAGGUUAGAUGCUUGCUUUCGAGCGAGCUCCUCUCAAAUUAAUUAGUGGGGUCCGCUUUGUCGAUCCUAGACGUGAUAAGAUGUUUCUACGUUUUUGGAUCUGGCACUGUCUUUCGGAAGCCCGCUCCUAAUCGUCCCAUGGACAAACGAUGGUGCUCCGGUCCGCUGCCGAAUCCACUUUGGCGGGGGGCUUGACCCACGACGAAAACCUUGACCUCAAAUCGGGUGAGACUACCCGCUGAACUUAAGCAUAUCAA